rnacentral:rRNA from 1 species
UACAGAGGGUGCGAGCGUUGUUCGGAAUUAUUGGGCGUAAAGGGCGCGUAGGCGGUGCGGUAAGUCACCUGUGAAAUCUCUGGGCUCAACUCAGAGUCUGCUGUGGAAACUGCCGUGCUAGAGUGUGGGAGAGGUGAGUGGAAUUCCCGGUGUAGCGGUGAAAUGCGCAGAUAUCAGGAGGAACACCGGUGGCGAAGGCGGAUCUCUGGGCCAUUACUGACGCUGAGGAGCGAAAGCGUGGGGAGCGAACAGG